CCCUAAAUCUGUGAGUGCUGCGUUUUCAGUCCUUGUGGAAGUGGCACUAAGAAAGGUUUAAGGAACUAAACAUAGCUGAGUUCCUGUCCAAAUAGCACAACUUUUCUGUCUACUUUGCCCAUUUAGAUAUCUUAAGUUUUCUCUUUCUCCCUGUCAAUUUAUUUACCAUUUUUCCCCUGUUUUAUUCCUGUAAGAAAGGUGGCAAGUACUGAAGUGUUAAGGAUAGAUUUUACUGUACUGCCUUAACUGCUCAGCAGCUCACCCUUUUCCCUCCUACUCUACUUAUCCUAUAUUUUCUCUCAUGCAUUUUGCAUUUCUUGGUUCAAAUAGAUAAUUAGUUUAUUUUAUUUGCUUUUUGACAUGGUUACUCAUAUUGUUGCUUUAGUUUUGGUUUCCAGUUGGAUAAUAUUUUGUUUUGCUUUAUGAGUUCUGAUCUUACACUAAAAUUGUAAUUUGACAGUACUACUGCUUUUUAUAUGGAUUUAUGGAAUAAUAUCCCCACGUUUGACAUGGAUAUGCAGAUCAUGAUGAUGAUCACCACGCCCAUGAUCAUGUUCAUGAUCCUGGUGUUUCUUCUGUCAGCAUGGUUUGUGAAGGGAGCUUAGAUCUUGAAAGGGUUGGAUCUUUGUUUCGUCUUAUUUUGCAAUAUAUAUGAUAAUUGCCUCCUUUGUCUUUUAGUUUACCUAAUUGCCUUUGAAUGACACAAGUACACAUUUGAUGGCCAGUUGCAUUUAGUGUCUUUGUCUGGACUGUAUGAAAGAAAACCUGGCAAAGACUACUGAUUUCGUCUUAAUUUAAUUCAGGCUAACAUAUGGCUUGGUAUGCUGUUGUUGGAAUGAAGCGAGGACAUAUAUCGCAUGAAAGGUCUACUAUCUGUUCAAGGAAUGAAUGAGAGAUUUGUCUUCCAGGGAGUCCAUGAUAUAUUCCAAGGCUCACCCGAUCGGCUGUGGGGCCCCAACGAGCCAAGAACAAACAAGAUAGUUUUCAUAGGGAAGAACUUGGAUGCACAAGAGUUGGAAAAGGGUUUUAAAGGCUGUUUACUGUGAUUUCAAACGAGGCUCGGUGCUUUCAUUCCCCUCUCUUUUGUCCCCUAUUAAAAGAUUGAACAAGGGAUGAUUGAACAUUAUGUACAUGUGGUGUCGAUGGAAACAGUGAACAAGUCACGAUAGAGAGAAUCAAUCGAGGGUUUUAUAUGAUAAUAAAUGCUAGUUUCCACUUUAUUAACCCGAAAAUUGAUUUCGGCGGGUGGUUCUAGCUUUCGUAACCAUGUUCAUACCUCUCUUUCCAUAUAACUGUUUUCAAGGUUCUUGUAGAUGAUCCGCAGUAUAUUUGAACUGUUCAAAUUCACUUUGU